AUAUAGAUAAGUUAAUAAAACUAUUAGGCUCAUCCCCUAAGCAUAUAAAUUCAAUUUUAUUCUAUAUA
rnacentral:tRNA from 3 species